ACCCCGAAGCUGUACACGUCGCUCUUGGCCGUGAGGUGGCCCGUGAGGAUGUACUCCGGCGCCGCGUAGCCGUGCGUGCCCAUCACCCGCGUCGUCACGUGCGUGUCGUCCCCCUUCGGCCCCUCCUUGGCCAGCCCGAAGUCCGACAGCUUCGCUGCGUAA
rnacentral:rRNA from 1 species